rnacentral:rRNA from 1 species
GACAGAGGUGCCGAGCGUUAGGCGGAAUCACUGGGCUUAAAGCGUGUGUAGGCGGCCCGUUAAGUACCUUGUGAAAUCCCCCGGCUCAACCGGGGAACGGCUGGGUAUACUGGCGGGCUUGGGUCACCCAGGGGCAGACGGAACAAGCGGUGGAGCGGUGAAAUGCGUAGAUAUCGCUUGGAACGCCGGCGGCGAACGCGGUCUGCUGGGGGUGUACCGACGCUGAGACACGAAAGCCAGGGGAGCGAACGGG